rnacentral:rRNA from 1 species
GACGAACGCUGGCGGCGUGCCUAAUACAUGCAAGUUGAGCGCUGAAGGUUGGUACUUGUACCAACUGGAUGAGCAGCGAACGGGUGAGUAACGCGUGGGGAAUCUGCCUUUGAGCGGGGGACAACAUUUGGAAACGAAUGCUAAUACCGCAUAAAAACUUUAAACACAAGUUUUAAGUUUGAAAGAUGCAAUUGCAUCACUCAAAGAUGAUCCCGCGCUGUAUUAGCUAGUUGGUGAGGUAAAGGCUCACCAAGGCGAUGAUACAUAGCCGACCUGAGAGGGUGAUCGGCCACAUUGGGACUGAGACACGGCCCAAAUUCCUACGGGAGGCAGCAGUAGGGAAUCUUCGGCAAUGGACGAAAGUCUGACCGAGCAACGCCGCGUGAGUGAAGAAGGUUUUCGGAUCGUAAAACUCUGUUGGUAGAGAAGAACGUUGGUGAGAGUGGAAAGCUCAUCGAGUGACGGUAACUACCCAGAAAGGGACGGCUAACUACGUG